rnacentral:tRNA from 1 species
UGGCUCGGAGCUCGAGUGACAGAGCAGCGGACUUUUAAUCCGCAAGGUGCGGGUUUGAGCCCCGUCGAGUCAACCA